rnacentral:rRNA from 1 species
GACGGAGGGUGCAAGUGUUAUCCGGAAUCACUGGGCGUAAAGCGUCUGUAGGUGGUUUAAAAAGUCUACUGUUAAAAAUUGAAGCUUAACUUCAAAGAUGCCGUAGAAACUUUUAAACUCGAGGAUGGUAGGGGUAGAGGGAAUUUCCAGUGGAGCGGUGAAAUGCGUAGAUCUUGGAAAGACCACCAAUGGCGAAGGCACUCUACUGGGCCAUUACUGACACUAAGAGACGAAAGCGAGGGGAGCAAAUGGG